AUAAUUUAAGACUGGAAUGAAAGAGUCCACCUAAAGAAAUAUAUUUCUCUAAUUACUCUCAAAUUUUACUUUUUAGUAAAAAGGCUAAAAUAUACCUUAAAGACAAGAAGACCCUGUAAAACUUUUCACAAUUAUAAUUUUAAACUAAAUCUUGUGUUUAGCUGGGGCGGCAAAGAAUAAAAACACUCUUAAAUCUUAAUAAAAUUUACCAUACCCAGAAUUUCUGAAAAUCAAUUAAGCUACUUCAGGGAUAACAGCGUUAUACAUUUUAAAAGACCUUAUUGAAAAAUGUGAUUACGACCUCGAUGUUGGAUUGU
rnacentral:rRNA from 1 species